CACGUAGGGGGCGAGCGUUGUCCGGAUUUAUUGGGCGUAAAGAGCUCGUAGGCGGUUUGUCGCGUCGUCUGUGAAAACCCACGGCUCAACUGUGGGCUUGCAGUCGAUACGGGCAGGCUAGAGUUCGGUAGGGGAGACUGGAAUUCCUGGUGUAGCGGUGAAAUGCGCAGAUAUCAGGAGGAACACCGGUGGCGAAGGCGGGUCUCUGGGCCGAUACUGACGCUGAGGAGCGAAAGCGUGGGGAGCGAACAGG
rnacentral:rRNA from 1 species